GACCUGGUGGUGAAAUGUAUCACAUCCACUCUAGUUAAAGUCACACCAUCAAAUCAUUUGUGGGAGGCUCCUGGUUCAAAUCCGGGUCAGGUUG